CAAAGGAAGGAGGAAGUAACUGGUGGAAUGCUGAGAAAGGCAUUUCAGUGUGCGGCAUCAUCAUGCAAGCUCUGUAAGAGGAGAGUAAGAUCAGUACUCCUACUUGUAAAUGAAAGAGAAGAAAACAAAAACAAGCAAAUUCCUUCUAAGGUGUGAGGAACACGAGUAAACAGAGAAAUCACCUAAGGAGAAAACAGGAAGCAGAUUUGAAACUGUGGCCACCAACGACACGAGGGAGCGCAAAACCCAGCCCACUUGCCAGGGAGGCUGGCAGAGCCCACACCCAGUCUGGUGCCCUGGUCGGUUACAU
rnacentral:lncRNA from 10 species